UUUGGUUGCAUUGACAUGUCCUGUCAUUGACAAGCUCAGACUUGCCUGUUAACAACCACUGUUGUUAUCUGAAGGCUGAAUAGAUAAUAUUAAAAAAAAAUAGUCACUUACUUGUUUCUAACCUU
rnacentral:pre_miRNA from 1 species